AGUAAAGAUUUUCAAAAUCCCAAAGUAGUGCCUGGGUUUUCUGAUUUUAUUUGAAAUGAAUGGUCUCCCAAGUCAUAAAUUCUCCAUAUCAUCAACUAGUUCUACUCGCGAAAACAACAGAAAGACUCCUGUCUAAAUAUGCCUAGGUGUGAGUUAUGAGCUAAACUGUAUCUGCUGUCUUCUAAAAUUUAUAUAUUGAAGUCCUACUUUUCAGUACGCCAGAAUGUGACUGUAUUUGUAGAUAGAGCAUCUUAAGAGGUAGUUGAA
rnacentral:lncRNA from 1 species